rnacentral:piRNA from 1 species
UCCAGACACUGGAAAGAUAAAGGGCUC